rnacentral:rRNA from 1 species
AAAGUAUGCUAAGUAGCGGACGGGUGAGUAAUACGUAAGAACCUACCUUUUGGAAAUGAAUAACUAUUGGAAACGAUAGCUAAUACAUUAUAUAACUGAGAAGUUAACAACAAAAGUUGCCAAAAAAUGGGCUUGCGCCUGAUUAGCUACUUGCUGUGGUAAUGGCGCACC